rnacentral:rRNA from 1 species
AACGUAGGUGGCAAGCGUUAUCCGGAAUUACUGGGCGUAAAGGGUGUGCAGGCGGGGGGGCAAGUGGUGUAUGAAAUCUCCCAGCUUAACUGGGAUAGGUUAUGCCAGACUGCUACUCUAGAGGACGAGAGAGGGGCGUGGAAUUCCGGGUGUAGUGGUGAAAUGCGUAGAGAUCCGGAGGAACACCAGUGGCGAAGGCGGCCCCCUGGGCCGCGCCUGACGCUGAGACGCGAAAGCGCGGGGAGCGAACGGG